rnacentral:rRNA from 1 species
CAUGCAAGUCGAACGCGAAAGUCCCCUUCGGGGGGCGAGUAGAGUGGCGCACGGGUGAGUAACACGUAGGUAAUCUACCUUUGGAUGGGGAAUAACAACCGGAAACGGUUGCUAAUACCGCAUAAUGCAGCGGCACCUAAUGGUGACAGUUGUUAAAGCGGGGGAUCGCAAGACCUCGCGUCUGAAGAGGAGCCUGCGGCAGAUUAGCUAGUUGGUAAGGUAAAGGCUUACCAAGGCGAUGAUCUGUAGCCGGCCUGAGAGGGCGGUCGGCCACACUGACACUGACAUACGGGUCAGACUCCUACGGGAGGCAGCAGUCGGGAAUUUUGGGCAAUGGGCGAAAGCCUGACCCAGCAACGCCGCGUGAAGGAUGAAAUCCCUCGGGAUGUAAACUUCGCAAGAACGGGAAGAAUAAGUAAGGGUUAAUAUCUCUUACGAUGACGGUACUGUUUGUAAGCUCCGGCUAACUCCGUGCCAGCAGCCGCGGUAAUACGGGGGGAGCAAGCGUUGUUCGGAUUUACUGGGCGUAAAGGGCGCGUAGGCGGCCACCGCAAGUCGACUGUGAAAUCUCCGGGCUUAACUCGGAAAGGUCAGCCGAUACUGCGGGGCUAGAGUGCAGAAGGGGCAACUGGAAUUCUCGGUGUAGCGGUGAAAUGCGUAGAUAUCGAGAGGAACACCUGCGGCGAAGGCGGGUUGCUGGGCUGACACUGACGCUGAGGCGCGAAAGCUAGGGGAGCGAACGGGAUUAGAUACCCCGGUAGUCCUAGCCUUAAACGAUGAAUGCUUGGUGUC